UAGGGAAUCUUCGGCAAUGGACGGAAUUNUGGACCGAGCAACCNCACGUGAGUGAAGAAGGUUUUCGGAUCGUAAAGCUCUGUUGUAAGAGAAGAACGAGUGUGAGAGUGGAAAGUUCACACUGUGACGGUAUCUUACCAGAAAGGGACGGCUAACUACGUGCCAGCAGCCGCGGUAAUACGUAGGUCCCGAGCGUUGUCCGGAUUUAUUGGGCGUAAAGCGAGCGCAGGCGGUUAGAUAAGUCUGAAGUUAAAGGCUGUGGCUUAACCAUAGUACGCUUUGGAAACUGUUUAACUUGAGUGCAAGAGGGGAGAGUGGAAUUCCAUGUGUAGCGGUGAAAUGCGUAGAUAUAUGGAGGAACACCGGUGGCGAAAGCGGCUCUCUGGCUUGUAACUGACGCUGAGGCUCGAAAGCGUGGGGAGCAAACAGGAUUAGAUACCCUGGUAGUCCACGCCGUAAACGAUGAGUGCUAGGUGUUAGACCCUUUCCGGGGUUUAGUGCCGCAGCUAACGCAUUAAGCACUCCGCCUGGGGAGUACGACCGCAAGNUG
rnacentral:rRNA from 1 species